UACGUAGGGGGCCAGCGUUGUCCGGAUUUACUGGGCGUAAAGCGCGCGUAGGCGGAACGUUAAGUCCGGUCUGAAAGCCCCCGGCUCAACCGGGGAGGGUGGCUGGAAACUGGCGUUCUUGAGGGCGAGAGAGGAGGGUGGAAUUCCUGGUGUAGCGGUGAAAUGCGUAGAGAUGUGGAGGAAUACCGAUGGCGAAGGCAGCCCCCUGGGCCAAUACUGACGCUCAUGCACGAAAGCGUGGGGAGCAAACAGG
rnacentral:rRNA from 1 species